rnacentral:lncRNA from 1 species
CCCUGGAGUCGGUCCUGGCCCGGCCUUUGUGGACUGGGCUGUGUCCAGGAGAAUCAGCAUUGCAGUGGAUCCUCAGAGCCCUGUGGAGCAGGGCUCAAGGUCCCGCCCGACUACCGACCCGGGGUGCGAAGACUUUGAAGUUGCUCUGAUGACAAAGAGCAAUGCCACAGGCAGAUCUAUGAACCGCAACCGUCUCUAAUGCUGGUGAUGGUGGGGCCUCUCAGCUCAAGAGGACGAACAGAGAAGAGAGGAUGUGCUGUGAACACACUGCAGCACAGUGAGAAAACAAGAAGGCUGCAGUUAAACUUGAGGGUUAGUCUUGCCAUACUGGGAUGGGGUGCACCUUCACGGAUUUUCCUACAAAAUAAGGAACGCGCUUUUAGGUGUGGCUUGCACUCCUCCAAGAACAAUGGAGUGGGGCUAUUUAUAAAUCACAUUUGCUUGACCAUUUAAAUCACUUUUGGAGUGGUUUUUUUUUCCGAUGACUCUUCAUGUAAAAUUGGCUUUUACUGAACACCCAAAUCAGACACUGGCUCAGCAUAUGUCUUGCUCCACGAUGAUGAUGAUACGACUCUGAGCCCUGCUGCUUCCCAGCUACUUCCGCCUGUUUUGUUCUUCAGCUUCCGCAGGCCACAGUUGGUUUCUGAUCUCAUCCUGGGCCAGCUAUGGUGCCAGGUCGGGGAGGAAAGAGAACCAAGAUAGAAACAGGAAGGAGAGGAGGAAAAAGAAAAUAAAAGGAAGAAAAGAUUUGGAGCAGGAGAACUUCAAAUUCAUGUUCCUCCUACUGCAGCACCCUAACUAAUGGAAUUCAAUAAAAAACACUUGUUAAUUG